UACGGGGGGGAGCAAGCGUUGUUCGGAUUUACUGGGCGUAAAGGGCGCGUAGGCGGCGCAACAAGUCACUUGUGAAAUCUUCAGGCUUAACCUGAAGCGGCCAAGUGAUACUGUCGUGCUAGAGUGCGGAAGGGGCAACUGGAAUUCUUGGUGUAGCGGUGAAAUGCGUAGAUAUCAAGAGGAACACCUGCGGCGAAGGCGGGUUGCUGGGCCGACACUGACGCUGAGGCGCGAAAGCUAGGGGAGCGAACGGG
rnacentral:rRNA from 1 species